UGGGUUUGACAUGUAGGGAAAAGCUGCAGAGAUGCCAGUGUCCUUUUAGGGCCCUUCAC
rnacentral:rRNA from 1 species